rnacentral:rRNA from 1 species
GACGAACGCUAGCGGCGUGCUUAACACAUGCAAGUCGAACGGAAAGGCCCUGCUUUUGUGGGGUGCUCGAGUGGCGAACGGGUGAGUAACACGUGAGUAACCUGCCCUUGACUUUGGGAUAACUUCAGGAAACUGGGGCUAAUACCGGAUAGGAGCUCCUGCUGCAUGGUGGGGGUUGGAAAGUUUCGGCGGUUGGGGAUGGACUCGCGGCUUAUCAGCUUGUUGGUGGGGUAGUGGCUUACCAAGGCUUUGACGGGUAGCCGGCCUGAGAGGGUGACCGGCCACAUUGGGACUGAGAUACGGCCCAGACUCCUACGGGAGGCAGCAGUGGGGAAUAUUGCACAAUGGGCGGAAGCCUGAUGCAGCAACGCCGCGUGCGGGAUGACGGCCUUCGGGUUGUAAACCGCUUUCGCCUGUGACGAAGCGUGAGUGACAGUAAUGGGUAAAGAAGCACCGGCUAACUACGUG